AGAGUUUGAGUCCUGGCUCAGGAUGAACGCUAGCGGCAGACCUAAUACAUGCAAGACGAACGGUAAGUUGAGUAGCAAUACUUAGCCAAGAGUGUCGUACGGGUGCGUAACACGUAUGCAACCUACCCUAUACAGGAGGAUAGCCUAGGGAAACCUGGAUUAACCCUUCAUAGUAUUAUUGGAUGGCAUCAUUUGAUAAUUAAAACUGAGGUGGUAUAGGAUGGGCAUGCGUCUGAUUAGUUAGUUGGCGGGGUAAUGGCCCACCAAGACGAUGAUCAGUAGGGGUUCUGAGAGGAAGAUCCCCCACACUGGCACUGAGAUACGGGCCAGACUCCUACGGGAGGCAGCAGUAGGGAAUAUUGGUCAAUGGAUGCAAGUCUGAACCAGCCAUGCCGCGUGCAGGAAGAAGGCCUUCUGGGUUGUAAACUGCUUUUGCCAGGGGAUAAAAUUUCCAUGCGUGGAAAACUGAAGGUACCUGGUGAAUAAGCCACGGCUAACUACGUG
rnacentral:rRNA from 1 species